AAUAAAAAAAAAGAAAUAGAACAAACAAGGCACAUUGUCAUUUCCCACGUGCUUUGUUCUUAAUCCCCUAUCCAGGAACACAUUCUCCCUCUCUCUGGCUUUGGGUUUUGUAAAAAUCUGUCUGUGCCAGUGCCCAGCUGCUGAGCUCAUGGACAGCAGUAGCUCCUCGCUGGCGUAUUAGAUUGCCACAGAACCGUGGCCUUACCCAGCACUUCAUGCUUCCUGCCC
rnacentral:lncRNA from 10 species